GACGAACGCUGGCGGCGUGCCUAAUACAUGCAAGUAGAACGCACAGUUUAUACCGUAGCUUGCUACACCAUAGACUGUGAGUUGCGAACGGGUGAGUAACGCGUAGGUAACCUGCCUGGUAGCGGGGGAUAACUAUUGGAAACGAUAGCUAAUACCGCAUAAUAUUGAUUAUUGCAUGAUAAUUGAUUGAAAGAUGCUAUUGCAUCACUACCAGAUGGACCUGCGUUGUAUUAGCUAGUAGGUGAGGUAACGGCUCACCUAGGCGACGAUACAUAGCCGACCUGGGAGGGUGAUCGGCCACACUGGGACUGAGACACGGCCCAGACUCCUACGGGAGGCAGCAGUAGGGAAUCUUCGGCAAUGGACGAAAGUCUGACCGAGCAACGCCGCGGGAGUGAAGAAGGUUUUCGGAUCGUAAAGCUCUGUUGUAAGAGAAGAACGGGUGUGAGAGUGGAAAGUUCACACUGUGACGGUAUCUUACCAGAAAGGGACGGCUAACUACGUG
rnacentral:rRNA from 1 species